rnacentral:rRNA from 1 species
UCCGAGUGGCGAACGGGUGAGUAACACGUGAGUAACCUGCCCUUGACUUUGGGAUAACUUCAGGAAACUGGGGCUAAUACCGGAUAGGAGCUCCUGCUGCAUGGUGGGGGUUGGAAAGUUUCGGCGGUUGGGGAUGGACUCGCGGCUUAUCAGCUUGUUGGUGGGGUAGUGGCUUACCAAGGCUUUGACGGGUAGCCGGCCUGAGAGGGUGACCGGCCACAUUGGGACUGAGAUACGGCCCAG